rnacentral:rRNA from 1 species
UACGUAGGGGGCAAGCGUUGUCCGGAAUUAUUGGGCGUAAAGAGCGUGUAGGCGGUCCGGUAAGUCGGCUGUGAAAGUCCAGGGCUCAACCCUGGGAUGCCGGUCGAUACUGCCGGGCUAGAGUCCGGAAGAGGCGAGUGGAAUUCCUGGUGUAGCGGUGGAAUGCGCAGAUAUCAGGAGGAACACCAAUAGCGAAGGCAGCUCGCUGGGACGGUACUGACGCUGAGGCGCGAAAGCGUGGGGAGCGAACAGG